rnacentral:rRNA from 1 species
AACGAACGCUGGCGGCAUGCCUAACACAUGCAAGUCGAACGAUACCUUCGGGUCUAGUGGCGCACGGGUGCGUAACGCGUGGGAACCUGCCCUUAGGUUCGGAAUAACUCCCCGAAAGGGGUUCUAAUACCGGAUAAUUUCUUCGUACCAAAGAUUUAUCGCCUUUGGAUGGGCCCGCGUUGGAUUAGCUAGUUGGUAGGGUAAAAGCCUACCAAGGCGACGAUCCAUAGCUGGUCUGAGAGGAUGAUCAGCCACACUGGGACUGAGACACGGCCCAGACUCCUACGGGAGGCAGCAGUGGGGAAUAUUGGACAAUGGGCGAAAGCCUGAUCCAGCAAUGCCGCGUGAGUGAUGAAGGCCUUAGGGUUGUAAAGAUCUUUUACCCGGGAUGAUAAUGACAGUACCGGGAGAAUAAGCUCCGGCUAACUCCGUG